GCCUCGGUGGUAUAGUGGUCAAUUCGUUCGCCUGGUAAACAGGAGGGCGUGGGUUCAAUCCCAGCCGAGGUA
rnacentral:tRNA from 1 species